UCCUUUGAGCGACUUGUUUCUUGGUUUCAUAUCACUUCCUGUCUUCGUCGUGUUUCUCUUCCUGUGGACGGCGUGAUGUUAUCGGAGCGAGAUGGCAGCGUUUAUAUCUGAGGAAUUCUGGCUUCAUUUCUGAGCUGUGGGAGGAAGUGGAGACGUGUCAUCCAUCUUUAUUUGGAUCUGUUCAGUCUGGAGUCGAGAUGAAGAACAAGCAUUUUGAAUUUCUUAGUCACAAUAUCGUCAUAACAAAAUACUACAGAUGUAAAUGUCUCCUCCACUGUGGAAUAAAACAGAAAGAAUUUGUCUCUAUUUAACAAAUAAAUAAAAAAGGUCAAAUUCACUGAACUGUA